rnacentral:rRNA from 1 species
GGUUGCGAUCAUACCAGCACUAAUGCACCGGAUCCCAUCAGAACUCCGCAGUUAAGCGUGCUUGGGCGAGAGUAGUACUAGGAUGGGUGACCCCCAUGGAAGUCCUCGUGUUGCAACCC